GGGGGUACCAAAUGAUUUUAAGGUAAGAAACUAAGUUUGAAUCUAUUCUCCCAAGCAUUACGGCUAAUAAAAUCUGAAUUGGAAGGGAAGAGGUUUAUACAAUAAACAGGAGACCUUUUUCUUACAGGACAUGUAUGACUCAGCUGAAUGGGUAGGUGCCACGCAUAUGACUGUUAAUCCCCUCAAACCACACAUUAGGACUUUAAAAGACAUGGUAGUCAUCCCAUAUUUGAGGAUAAGAGGGCUGUAGAGACAGGUUUCUCUGACACUAACUUGUGACUUGAAUGGAUGAAAUACAAUGCUACUAAACAUAACAAGUCUAACUGCUAUGUCUGCAGAGGAGCGAGGCCUCACCCAGGUACAGUAUCCCUGAACCUUCCUCCGGAUAUGAAGUAUGCGUUUUAAGUCUCUACACUGUAUUUAAACCUAAGCGGUCAGCAUGCGAGUCAUGGAAACUUAAUACCCAAUCAUUACUAAAAAUAUUAUGCCCAGACGAAGGCAUUACUAUAUAUCCCGGGAACUACACUUGUUAUGGGAUAUAUGGUGGGAUAGGGCGGUUACAAGCUACCUCUCAGAUGACCUUCCAGAAUAGAAUAAGCUUAAAAAUGAUUUUGGCAGAAAAAGGGAGAGUAUGUAAAAUACUCCCAGACACCAUAACAUGCUGUACCUAUAUUCCAGAUAAUACAGGCCCUAGUGGUAAGGUAACGUUGGCAAUAGAAAAGUUAAAGAGUUUGUCCAAUGAGCUGAAACGAAAUUCUGGGGCCACAGAUCCAUGGGAAAGAUGGUUUGGAUGGAUGUCUGGAUGGCAAGGUGCUCUGGCCCAAAUAGGUGUUGCCAUUUUAAUAAAGAUAAUCAUCCUCGCUCCUCUUGUUUGUUGUGUGUUACCCUGUCUUAAGAAAUGCCUACAAAAGACAGUUGAUCAGACAAUCGACCAGACCACCCCAACCUUCCUUCACCAAGAGAUUGACGACAUCGACCGUGAUACACCACAUACACCCUUACAGUCCCACCGCACUAAAUCAACAGCUACUUCCUCUUAAGGACAUUUAGGGAUAGCGUCUGUCUCUACGGGCAGAAGUCUGCCG
rnacentral:lncRNA from 1 species